GAGUUUGAUCAUGGCUCAGAAUCAACGCUGGCGGCGUGCCUAACACAUGCAAGUCGCACGAGAAAGAGGGGGCAACUCCUUGAGUAAAGUGGCGUACGGGUGAGUAACACGUGACUAACCUACCUCCGAAUGGGGAAUAACCUCGGGAAACCGGGGCUAAUACCGCAUAACAUCUACGGAUCAAAGCAGCAAUGCGUUUGGAGAGGGGGUCGCGGCUGAUUAGCUAGUUGGUGGGGUAAUGGCCCACCAAGGCUACGAUCAGUAUCCGGCCUGAGAGGGCGCACGGACACACUGGAACUGAAACACGGUCCAGACUCCUACGGGAGGCAGCAGUGGGGAAUUUUGCGCAAUGGGGGAAACCCUGACGCAGCAACGCCGCGUGGAGGAUGAAGGUCUUUGGAUUGUAAACUCCUUUCGAUCGGGACGAUUAUGACGGUACCGGAAGAAGAAGCACCGGCUAACUCUGUGCCAGCAGCCGCGGUAAUACAGNAGGGUGCAAGCGUUGUUCGGAAUUAUG
rnacentral:rRNA from 1 species